rnacentral:rRNA from 1 species
GCUGUGGAACUCCUACGGGAGGCAGCAGUGGGGAAUAUUGGACAAUGGGGGAAACCCUGAUCCAGCCAUGCCGCGUGUGUGAAGAAGGCCUUCGGGUUGUAAAGCACUUUAAGCGAGGAGGAAGGUUCGUUACUUAAUACGUAACGGAAUUGACGUUACUCGCAGAAUAAGCACCGGCUAACUCUGUGCCAGCAGCCGCGGUAAUACAGAGGGUGCAAGCGUUAAUCGGAAUUACUGGGCGUAAAGCGCGCGUAGGCGGUUGUGUAAGUUGGAUGUGAAAUCCCCGGGCUUAACCUGGGCACUGCAUUCAAAACUGCACGGCUAGAGUAUGGGAGAGGAAGGUAGAAUUCCAGGUGUAGCGGUGAAAUGCGUAGAGAUCUGGAGGAAUACCGAUGGCGAAGGCAGCCUUCUGGCCUAAUACUGACGCUGAGGUGCGAAAGCAUGGGGAGCAAACAGGAUUAGAUACCCUUGUAGUCCUACCACGU